rnacentral:rRNA from 1 species
AACGAACGCUGGCGGCAUGCCUAACACAUGCAAGUCGAACGAGACCUUCGGGUCUAGUGGCGCACGGGUGCGUAACGCGUGGGAACCUGCCCUUAGGUUCGGAAUAACUCCCCGAAAGGGGUGCUAAUACCGGAUAAUGUCUUCGGACCAAAGAUUUAUCGCCUUUGGAUGGGCCUGCGUUGGAUUAGCUAGUUGGUAGGGUAAAAGCCUACCAAGGCGAGGAUCCAUAGCUGGUCUGAGAGGAUGAGCAGCCACACUGGGACUGGGACACGGCCCAGACUCCUACGGGAGGCAGCAGUGGGGAAUAUUGGAAAAUGGGCGGAAGCCUGAUCCAGCAAUGACGCGUGAGUGAUGAAGGCCUUAGGGUUGUAAAGCUCGUUUACCCGGGAUGAUAAUGACAGUACCGGGAGAAUAAGCACCGGCUAACUCCGUG